rnacentral:tRNA from 1 species
GCCUGGGUGGCUCAGUGAGUAAAGUGUCUGACUUCGGCUCAGGUCAUGAUCUUACAGUUUGUGGGUUCGAACCCCACGUCAGGUU